UGGUCUUGACAUAGUAAGAACUUUCCAGAGAUGGAUUGGUGCCUUCGGGAACUUACAUACAGGUGCUGCAUGGCUGUCGUCAGCUCGUGUCGUGAGAUGUUGGGUUAAGUCCCGCAACGAGCGCAACCCUUUUCCUUAUUUGCCAGCGGGUUAAGCCGGGAACUUUAAGGAUACUGCCAGUGACAAACUGGAGGAAGGCGGGGACGACGUCAAGUCAUCAUGGCCCUUACGACCAGGGCUACACA
rnacentral:rRNA from 1 species